UCCAGUGGCAGCAUUUUGAAGGAUUAUGCAACUUUCUGGGCUGACAUAACUUCCCGAGUUGGACAGUAAAACUUACUGCCAAACCUUUGGGGUUUGGAAAGUUAUGGAAGGAGUAAUUAAUUAUACGUCUUAUCGACUCAGAGAAAGAUCGGGUACAUUAACCUCCGCCAUACUUCUUGAGAAUCAGAGGAUGUAAGAUUUCUUGCUAUUGACUAAUAUUCCGGCCAUGGUCAUCAUCAAGGAAGAUAAUGUUUUGUGUCGUGAUGAAAAUGUGUAUAUUAAAAAGAAAAA